AUACGUAGGCGGCGAGCGUUGUCCGGAAUGAUUGGGCGUAAAGGGCGCGUAGGCGGCGCGGUAAGUCUGGAGUGAAAGUCCUGCUUUCAAGGUGGGAAUUGCUUUGGAUACUGCCGCGCUUGAGUGCAGGAGAGGUUAUCGGAAUUCCCGGUGUAGCGGUGAAAUGCGUAGAGAUCGGGAGGAACACCAGUGGCGAAGGCGGGUAACUGGACUGCAACUGACGCUGAGGCGCGAAAGUGUGGGGAGCAAACAGGAUUAGAUACCCUGGUAGUCCACACUGUAAACGAUGAAUGCUAGGUGUAAGAGGUAUCGACCCCUUUUGUGCCGGAGUCAACACAAUAGGCAUUCCGCCUGGGGUGUACGGCCGCAAGGUUGAAACUCAAAUGAAUUGACGGGG
rnacentral:rRNA from 1 species